UACGUAGGUGGCAAGCGUUGUCCGGAUUUACUGGGCGUAAAGAGCGCGCAGGCGGUCGAGUAAGCCGAAUGUGAAAGCCCCCGGCUUAACUGGGGAGGGUCAUUCGAUACUGUUCGACUUGAAGGCAGGAGAGGGCAGCAGAAUUCCCGGUGUAGUGGUGAAAUGCGUAGAUAUCGGGAGGAAUACCAGUGGCGAAGGCGGCUGCCUGGCCUGUUCUUGACGCUGAGGCGCGAAAGCUGGGGGAGCAAACGGG
rnacentral:rRNA from 1 species